UUCACCUCAUCCCCUCUAACCCACACCUCAUCCCCUCUAACCCAAUGCGCAAUCACACGGGCCUAAGAUCCGGAUUAAUGACCCGCAUAUAUUUUUUUCCCAACAAUCACUUUUCCCUAUGAAAACACAAUUGGGUUUUUUUCUUCAUCGCCGUCACCAGAAACCCUAACACUUCCCAUGCUUCCUUUCCAUCAUAUAAUUAAGAUUUUUUUUUAUCAUCAAAUUCUCUUUUUCUUGAUCUUCGUUUGAAAGCAAGACCAAUGGGAAUAGCUGCUGGAAGUUCUAAUGGAUUCUCAUCACCACUAAUUCUAAAAGAUCGAUUUUAAUUUCUUCAUAUUUGGGACAACAAAUCUGCCCUUGAAACAAUACAUAAGGAAAUGUACAUAAUAGAAGGUCAGAUGGAGGCGUUUAGGACCAGAAGAACGUUUGCGGGAAAGGCGACAUCAACUUCUGGAUCAGAGAUGGAUGAUGACAUAGUGAAUAUAUGGAAUCUCAAAGGCUCAAAAAGUGUAGUGUUGCUGCCUUGGAUAUGAUCUCUAAUGUGUUUGGUAAUGAGAUUUUUUCAGCUUUAAUGCCUUUUGUCGAGGUAAUUGUGUUUGGAUAUAAUCUCUAAGUAAGCUUAUUAUUUGCAACUGAUUUACGAUUGUGUCAUGAGAAAUCAUGUAAUGUUAUGGUAUGUGUAGUCCAAGUUAUCUUUAUUAGAUGAUGCAAGUUGUAAAGAGAGGGAGGGUGCAAUUUUAGCUCUUGGUGGCAUUGCUGAGAGUUGCAUUAAUUGUCUUUACCCUCAUUUUUCAUAGGUUAGCUCUAUAUUUUAAUGUUAAGUUUCUUGUGUUUAUAAAAGGAACUACACAGAUGUUGGAAACCCAAUAUAAUUAUUGAAUUGGUAAGUUACUUCAUAAGUGGUGAUGAUAAAAGUGCUACAACUUUGACCAUUUUUCUUUGGCUUGGUAAGUGAUCCUCAAUACUUUAAUGCAAUAUCCAUGUUUAAAGUGAAAUCUUCACUACACCUAGGCAUAUAUCUGCUGAGAAGGGGCAAGUACGCACACAUAAUGUUCAUUUUGAUUUUGAUUCUAUAUAUCGUAGUUAUUUGUUUACAAUUGUAUUUUUUGUUGGAUUCUCUCUAUAUUGUUGUAGUGCUUUGAUUUGAAUUGUGUUUGAUAAUUGGUUUCUUUAGCUUUUCGAUAUUUGAGAUUUAUGGUUUCUGUUUUCUAUAUCAUUUUUUUGUUUUACCUUUUUGUUAAAACAUUACUAGAAAACUUAAAUGCGUUCAUAUUGUUCUAUAGAAUUCGGAACCUUAGUUUCGAUAUAAAUCAUGCGUUUAUUGGUAUUAUUUAAGCAGUUUAUUUUGUUUCUUUUUUGUAUGUAUGGCUCUCUGUGUCUCUAUUAACUCUCUAUUAGCCUUAAUAUAUCACUCAUGAUUUUAUUGAUCUUGACACUUUUGGCAGUGAUGCAUAAAGCACUUUUGUUGUAUGUAAUUAUAGGAAGGAUGUAAACGUUGAUGCUAUUUUGAACUUUUAUGUUUUGUUUAUGGACUAAAAUGAGAAUGAUCGUUAUUGUUUAAAAUGUGAAGGAUUUUGUAGUAAAGUUUAAUAGGAUAUUCUUUAACUAGAGUAAAUUGCAAUUUUAGUCCUUGUGUAUUUGUCCAAAUUUUUAUUUUAAUCCAAAUAGUUUUUUUUCCUCAUCUGGGUCCCUGACUUUUCCUUUUUCUUACCAUUUUGAUCACAUUGUCUAACUUAGUCUAAAAAUCAGGUUAUAAUCAGAGAUAUUUUUGGCAUUAAAUUAUUAUGAGAUUUAUAAAUUAUGUUGUAAACUACUCCUGGUUAUCACUACACAACAGUUAUGCCAAAAAUAUCACUGGUUAUAACCAGAUUUUUAGACUGAGUUAGGCAAUGUGAUCAUAAUGACAAGAAAAUUGAAACGUCAGGGACCCAGAGGAGGAAAAAAAGUAUUUGGACUAAAAUGGUAAGUUGGACCAAACCUCAAGGACUAAAAUGGCAAUUUACCCUUAACUUUUUGUGAUUCUGGCUAAAAGACUUGACUUAUGCAUUGUUUUUGCAAUUUUUGGUAGUAAGAUCUGUGAACUUCAAUUUAGGGGGUGUUUGUUUUUUGUGAGAAGCUCUUCCUGACCACUUCUGUCUGCGCCAAGAAGACCAAGGGCAGACAUAGAGGUCGAAAGUGCGUUUGUUUUUCGGACGCGUCCUCUUCUUGGAGAAGACAUGGACCAGCCACUUCAAACCUCUUCAAACCUCUUCUCAACCAUCUGCACAUUCUUUCAUCUUCAUCAAAGGCACGACAGAAGUAGGGGGAGGACGGUGACAACUCCGGCGACGGCGCCGCCGCUCACGGCGGUGACAGUGGAAUUCCGACGUGUUUUUUCCGGCGGAACCAGGGUAUACCCCCCCCUAAAACACCCCUUCCGAGCAUGAAUUUAAAGUCGGUUUCUCCGAUUGAAGUGCGGUAGUGGUGGUUCUGAUGUACGGCAGCCGCGAUUCUUGAUGUUUUAGUCCGGUGGUGGUUCACGGAGGUAGCAGAUGCAGCAGUGAUGGUGGUUCACGACGGCGGUAAAACCCGCCGGAAUCGAUGGUGGUGUUUCAGUGGUGGUUGUGACUCGAGCAGCGGCGGAUGGUCGACAAGCCGUUUACUGGCGACCGGAACCCGAUGGCACGGUGGUGUCGGGUUUUUGGUUCAAGUUUGGGUCGUUCCGGUCAGGCUUAGUUUUGUGGUGGUGGUGGUGGUAGAUGAAGGGUUCAGAGAAGAAGUUGAGGAGAAGUGAAAAGAGGAGAGUGGUGGUUCUGAGAAGUGAAAAGAGGAGAGAUGGGUCUUAAACAAACACUCUUCUCCUUGCAGACUGCAGUCUUUUGGUCCACCUCUUCUCCUGCAGAUGCCUGCAGAUGUGGUCCGCAGACUGCAGACCUCUUACCUCUUCAAAAACAAACACCACCUUAGUCUUUUAGAUCAUGUGGUUUUCGUUUGAUCUUUGCGGGUCAAACUUGCAUGUACGAUUUACUUAUUUUGAUUUAAGUGACAACAACAACAUAUUUAUGUUUUCUUUCUA